GACGAACGCUGGCGGCGUGCUUAACACAUGCAAGUCGAACGGAAAGGCCCUGCUUUUGUGGGGUGCUCGAGUGGCGAACGGGUGAGUAACACGUGAGUAACCUGCCCUUGACUUUGGGAUAACUUCAGGAAACUGGGGCUAAUACCGGAUAGGAGCUCCUGCUGCAUGGUGGGGGUUGGAAAGUUUCGGCGGUUGGGGAUGGACUCGCGGCUUAUCAGCUUGUUGGUGGGGUAGUGGCUUACCAAGGCUUUGACGGGUAGCCGGCCUGAGAGGGUGACCGGCCACAUUGGGACUGAGAGACGGCGCAGACUCCUACGGGAGGCAGCAGUGGGGAAUAUUGCACAAUGGGCGGAAGCCUGAUGCAGCAACGCUGCGUUCGGGAUGACGGCCUGCGGGUUGUAAACCGCUGUCGCCUGUGACGAAGCGUGAGUGACGGUAAUGGGUAAAGAAGCACCGGCUAACUACGUG
rnacentral:rRNA from 1 species